UCAGUUGGCUGGACGGCCGCGCCGGCAAAGUCGAAAGGCUGCCGGGGAGGAAAGUCCGGGCUCCAGGGACAAACGGUGCCGGAUAACGUCCGGCGGGGGUGACCCCAGGGACAGUGCCACAGAGAACGAACCGCCGCCCUCCCCUCGGGUGGGGCGGUAAGGGUGAAAAGGUGCGGUAAGAGCGCACCGCGGGACCGGCGACGGGACCGGCUAGGUAAACCCCACCGGGAGCAAAACCGAAUAGGGGCGACGAGAAUUCGGCGGUGAAAGCCGCAGUCUUCGGUCAGUCCGGACCAGUCGCCCGGGUAGGUUGCCCGAGGCGCCGUGCAAACGGCGCCCCAGAGGAAUGGCCGUCACGCGGUGGGUUCGCCCGCCGCCCUACAGAACCCGGCUUACAGGCUGGCUGAUGCU
rnacentral:RNase_P_RNA from 1 species